UGAAAUUUUAUUUUAUUUUUUUAUAGAAUAAAAUACAUAUAUUUAAACACAACUACAUUCACACAGAUUAUUAUAUCAUGGAUCUUAAGAAACAGAUUAAGUGACUCCCUCUAGAGAAGUGGAAUGGAAAAUAUGCUGAGACAGAUAGGAAAUUUAUUCUAUACUUUAUCCUAUUUUGUAUGGUUUUCAUCUUUACUAUUUAGUAUUAUCUAUUACAUUCAAUUUUUCUUUAAAAAUUAGCAUUAUAUUAAAAUUGUGUAUAUUAUGCAACUAAAAUUUAUAAAGAAGAAAGCCUUAUAUACCAUUAAAUAUUUUAUAUAGCAUAAUAAAAAGAAUAACUUAACUGGUAAGAAUAACAAAAAUAAUACACCCUCUGAAAAUAAGUAAAAUAUAAAAUGCAUAAAUUGGUUAAAAAACAGUGUAACUAUAUAAAUAUGUCCUCACAAUUUGUUACAUCUUAUUGAUUCUUCAAUAUAGGCAUUACACCAUUCUAGGUGAUGUGAUAAACAAGACAUUAUAGACCUUACAUUGUACCAUGGAGAGAAAUGGUUAUUAAUAAUACAAUUGUAGAACUGUAUUAUUUAAUUGUACAGUUGCAUUAUUUAAUUAUAAUUAUCAUAAAUUCUUUGAUGGAGAGGAAAUCAGAAUCAGAUCUAAGAAGACUUCAGCAUUCCAAGAAUGAUGUCAAAUGACCCCCUUCAUGGUGGAUUAUGCACUUAUUUCCGAUGAGAUAUCUUUCUUCUCCAGAAAGAGAUUCCUUGUUUGUGUAUCCAUUGUAGAUUUUUGGUUUGCAGUUAUUCUGAAGUUUUGAUAUAAGAGUCUGUAUGUGUAUGAGAUUGUUGUAAGUUGUUGUUCUCUUAAUUGCAAGUUCAUUUCCAGUGUCCUGCAUUUGUACCCACCUCUUCUCAGGAUUCCUGACUUUGGUGGUAUAAUUGUGCAUGGAUGAUUUUGUAUCUUUACUGAAUCUAUACGUUUACUGGUGAGCCUUGUCAUUUGUGGAAUUUUUGUUUCCUGUUGCUGUCUUGUCUUUUCUGCCUAGAGAAAUUCCUUUAGUAUUUGUUGUAAGGCUGGUUUAGUGUUGCUGAAUUCUCUCAGCUUUUGCUUCUCUGUGAAGGUUUUGAUUUCUCCUUCAAAUCUGAAUGAGAGCCUUGCUGGGUAGAGUAGUCUUGAUUGGAGGUUUUUUCCUCUCAUCAUGUUAAGUAUAUCAUGCCACUCCCUUCUGGCCUGCAGAGUUUCUGCUGAAAAAUCUGCUGAUUACCUUAUUGGGGUUCCCUUGUAUGUUACUUGUUUCUUUUCCCUAGCUGCUUUCAAGAUUUUCUCUUUGUCUUUAAUUUUGGUCAGUUUGAUUAAUAUGUAUAUCAGUGUAUUCCUCCUUGGGUUUAUAUUAUAUGGUACUCCUUGUGCUUCCUGGAUUUGAAUGAGUGGCUCCUUUCCCAUGUGAGGGAAGUUUUUGGCUAUUUGCUCUUGGAAUAUUUUUCCUGUCCCCUUCUCUCUCUCUUCUCAUUCUGGCACCCCUAUAAUACGGAUGUUGGUGCGUUUAACAUUGUCCCAGAGUUCUCUGAGACUCUCUUCAUUUGUUUUCAAUCUUCUUUCUCUUUUAUGUUCUGCAUCCGUAAUUUCCACUAAUCUGUCCUCCACCUUGCUUAUUUGUUCUUCUGUCUCCUGUAUUCUGCUGUUAGCUGCUUCUAUGAAUUUUUUAUUUCAGUUAUUGUAUUUUGCAUCUCUUCUUGUUUAAGUUUUAUAUCUUGUAUCUCUUUGGUCAGUGUUUCCUGUAAGUUAUCCAUCUUUGCCUCCAGUUUAUUUCCAAUGUCUUGCAUCAUCUUCAGCAUCAACAGUCUAAAGUCUUUUUCCUGGAGGCUGAGAAUCUCCUCAUCACUUAGCUGAUUUUCUGGGGUUUUUCCUUUCUCCCUCAUCUGAGUUAUAGUUCUCUGUCUUUUCAUUUUUAUAGGUUUUUGGUGUGGUGAACUUUUUACAGAUAAUAGGGUUGUAGCCUCUCUUACUUCUGGUGUCUGCCUCCCUUGUGGCUGAAGUCAGAAUGGGGGCUUGCUGUAGGCUUGCUGAUGGGAGGGACUGAUGCCUCCCCACUGGUAGGUGGAGCUGAUUCUAAUUCCUCUGGUGGGUGGGGUUUUAUCUCUGGUUGGGAUUAGAGGCAGCUGUGUGCUGAGGGGUCUUUAGGUAGCCCAUUUACUGAGGAGGGGGGCUGUGUUCCCACCUGGGUUUUUCUUUGCCCUGGGGCUUCUCAGGGCUAACUGACAGGUGGGGCCAGAUUUUCUCAAAAUGGCCACCUCCAGAGAAAGGCAGCUGCUGAAUAUUCCUGAGAGCUUUGCCUUCAAUGUCUGUCCCUCACAACAAGCCACAUUCACCCCUCUUUUCCCAGGAGGUCCUCCAAGAACUGCAGUCGUGUUUGACCCACAUUCCUAUGGAGAAGACCUUGCUCUGCCCUGGGACCCAGUGCACAUGAAAGUCUGUGUGCACCUUUUAAGAAUGGGGUCUCCAUUUCCCCCAGUCCUAUGGAGCUCCUGCACACAAGUCCCACUGGCCUUCAAUGCCAGAUGCUCCAGGGGCUCUUUCUCCCAGUGCUGGAUCCCUGCACAUGAGGGUUUGAUCUGGGGCUCAGAACUCUCACUCCUGUAGGUGAGUCUCUGUGAACCAGUUAGUUUUCAGUGUGUGGAGAUUCCUACCCGGGAGGUAUGGGGUUGUUUAUAUCAUGAAAUUGCCCCUCCUACCUCUUGAUGUGGGCUCCUCUUUUUCUUCUGGAGAAGGAUAUCUUUUUUAAGGCUUCCAGUCCAUUUGGGUGGAGAUUGCUCAGCCUUUAGUUGUGAGUUUUGUUGUUUUUAGGAAAGAAAUUGAGUUCUAGUCCUUUUAAUCUGCCAUCUUAAUCCUCUCAUCCCUUCUCUGUUCUUGAAUUGUGCCCAGUGGAGAAGAACAACUGGCUCCAUAAGUUUGCUUCUCUCAUCCACUGAAAUCAAGCCAUUUACCCCAGGCUCUGCAUCUUCCCUCUCUUGUCUCCCACCUGCUUUGGGCAAUUCACUAAAUCCUCUGCUCCAUCUUUGGACAAAUGAGAAGUCUAUAUUCUGAAGUCCUCUCUGUUUCCUAGGAGUCACAUUGUCAAGAUGGAGUUGCAGGCAAGCUUCUCUAUCCUAAGUGAAGUUCCAUAUAUCUGUUAACCAUUUAUAGCUGAUCCCGACCUUAUCAUUUUAUACUCAGUUGCCUAGGCAUAUGUUGUGACUCUUGUAGCAUGAGCACUCUAGUAAUAAUUCUUGGUGGCUUGAAAAUUUCUUGAUACUUUAAUGGAAUGAGUGUUUCUGAACUAUGUUUAUGGAUAAGUACAUCGUUUUGUAUUCAUAGCUACUAUUUGCUGCAUAAUCUGGCUUUUCAUGCAACAGUGGCUAUAGGGAAAGAGGGAACAAUAGAAGGAAAAUUUUAAAUAUUCACAAAAUUGUAGUAAAGAGAAAAAUCAAGCCUGAGGCGGAGAACAGAGGAGGAAGGCCACUGGGGAAGGAAGAGGAGGAACCAUCUUCAACUAUAGCAAAAUUGCACCACAUUUCGGUCACAUAAUGUCUUACCUUGCAUGAAGUACUUCACAAGUGAAAUGCAAAAGGCUCUGUUUAUACCUAGUGUAGAAUAAAAAAGAGAAGGUUCUAUUACAAUUCCAGAAUUAAUCAGGCCUGGUCUGAGCAGUACGAAAUAGGGUUUCUAGACAAAACACUGCAGCUAAUUCAUGUGUCUUUGAGUGAAGUAUUUUUGGUCUCUGGACCUCAGCUUCCUCAUCAUUAAAUGUGACACUUGGACUGGAUUAGAGAUGACAUAUUAGUGCCCGAGGGCUGCAUAUGUAUGCAGUGACUCUCAAGUUUUGGCCACAGGGUCUUUUUGUUGUUGUUGUUUAAUUAUAUUUAAAAACUAAACUCCAGACUUAAUACAAAUUCCUUUUUUUUUUUUUCUACUAGUGUCCUUUCUCUAUCCCAAUAUCUAGUUUAGAUUACCACAAUGCGUUCAGUGAGAACAGGGUGGUUUUUUUAAGUGGAAUUAUCAGUAUUUAAAAAUGAAAUAUUUCACAGUUCCUGUUGUGGUUCAGCUGGUUAAGAACCUAGCAUAGUGCCCAUGAGGAUAUGGGUUUGAUCCCUGGCCUCACUCAGUGAGUUAAAGAUCCUAUAUUGCUGUGAUAUAGGUCACCAGAUGUGACUCAGAUCCUGAAUUGCUAUAGCUGUGUUGUAGGACUGCAGCUGCAACCCCAAUUCAACCACUAGCCUGAAAACUUCCACAUGCUUUAGGUGUGGCCCUAAAAAGGAAAAAAAAAAAAAAGAAAUAUUUCACAUAAAAGAUCCAGAUUUCACACGUCCCUUGAAAGCUCAGUUGAUCUAAUGUCAAGAGCCUGUGCAGAAGGUUUAAUAAGCUUAAUCAUAUAAAUGAUAAGCUAAAGUAGUAUUGCCACUGCCCCUGUAGGCAGGGGAUGUGCCUUCUAGUUUGCCACAGUCUACUCUACUCUCUGUUGCCUCCAGAGCAAUGGGGCAAUGUGACAGUAGCCAUUACCAUCAGUUGCCACCUCCAGUUUUAGUAUAAUCAAAGGCUAUGGACCAUUCAUUGUACGCAUAACUCUAUGAAAAGUGAGAAUUCAGAAGACAGCCUGAUUCUAGAAAAAAAAAAAUGACAAAAAUGAAAUGACAAAAAUAAAGACACAUUUAAAUAACCAACCCACUUCCCUCAUGUACUCAAGCUUCCUGGCCUCUGUAGGCAUUUUGGUUUGAAAUCCCUGAGCAAAUGAAACUUUUCUAGUUCCUUUCAUUGUGGCCAUUUGAGAGAGUAGUGCUUUCAGUCAGGCCAGAGUUCUUGGGGAAAUAUAAGUUUCCUGCACACUGAAUCUAUGUUUUCUUUUUAAACCCUCUCUUACUGAACAUAGGAGUUUUUGAGUUCCAAGCCCUAAAUCACCACAGUGUGAUUUUUGUACUCUUUUACUUCCUUUAACUUGGGUCUCAAGAAGCCAGAUUGCAGUGUGGUUGAGACUAUGGGUUUUGAAUUCAAACUACCCAGUUUCAAAUUCCGACUUCAGCAUUUCCAAGGGGUAUGACUUUGGUCACUUCAUUUAACUUCUCUUUGCCUCACUUCCUUUCUUUAAAAUUGAGCUAAGAAAAAGGACCUAGCCUCUAAGGUUGUUGUAAUAGAUGGAAGAGCUAAACUAUGUAAAGGGAUCAAAACAAUGCCAGCAUUUACCAAGUGCUUAGGACAUGGUAAUGAUUAUUACCUUCAUUAUGUCAUCCUCAUCCCAGGAUGAUGAAACCCCACAGUAACCCCAUAAAAAGUCCUGAUCCCAGAAUGCUUUGUCAUUAUGAAGUUAUGUACAUGGUGAAGAGUAUUAGGGGUUACUAUUUUGCAGAGUUGAUAGAGCAUGCUUUAUGUAGCUCCAGGGGAAAAUUCAGACCAAGUAGGUAAAAGUUAGAGGGAAACAGAUGUUGGUUUAACCCAACAAAAGCCUUUCUUACAUUCAUAGAUAGACAGCACUUGAAUGGGCUCUUUGUCAGGCUGAUGAACAACCCAUCCUUCAUGCUGUUUGAGCAGACUGGAUGAUUGUCUGCCAGGAAUGUUGUGGAUCUACUCUCCAAGUUGGUAGCCAGGAGCUACAUCUGCGUAUUUAAAUUAGUUGUUUAAAAUUGAAUAAAAUUAAAAAUUUUAACUAAAUAAAAUUAAACAUUCAGCUCCUCAAUUAUAAUAACUACAUUUGAGUGCUAAUAAAAAUAGCCGUGGGUGGCUUGUUGCUACUUUAUUGGGUAGAACUGACAUAGAGCAUUUCCGUGAUCACAGAAAGCUCCAUGGAACAGCACAUUGCAGAGGGAUGUCCUGCACUGGAUUUCUGAAAUUGUCAAUUUGGUAAAGGUCAGUUUAGGGAGCAUGGAAGAGGAAUAAAGAAAGAAUUGUUGCCAGAACUCAGCUUCUACUCACCAGCACCGAAUAGAAACUCGGAAACAGAGUUUGGGGCCAAGGAGGAAAAAAAUAGCUUUAUUGCUUUGCCAGGCAAAGGAGGGUCACAACUGACUAAUGUCUUGAAGACUGUGCCCCCAUCCUCAGAGUGAUUGGGAGGUGAUCUUAUAGUUUGGGGAGUGAAAAAAUAGGGCCACAGAUAAGAUUCAGGAUAAAGAGAAUCUUUCAUUGUUUUCAAAGCUGGUGUUCAGUGGUCUUCUUUCUGGAAUAAAGAAUACUUCAUUAACAUCUUCUAUUUGUCGAGGGGGAGGGUUACUUAUUUAGAAGAACUCAAAGAUAUUGUUAUCUCUAUUCCUUGAGGAGGCAUCAGGACCAUGCCCCAAAGCUGCACUAUUGUUUCUUGACUGCUCCUCCCAAGUCUCUGCUUCCCCUCCCUUCUCUAAUUAGAAACUGUUUGAACCUGCUCUUUGGAACUCAGGAAAGGUCAUGAAGGCUGAAGUUUAUUCCCCAGAAACAAUAAAUGGGGGACACAGAAAGGCUUGUGCACCCAGGAGCCCGCGGGCCCCUGCUUGGUUUAAGAAUUGAGAUCAUGAGUGCUAUGAAGCUUACUUGCUCAUGGACUCCUGGAUUUCAUACUGGUGCAUGGCUCCAGGUAAAGCACUGUUUGAGUCUC
rnacentral:lncRNA from 1 species